GGAGCACAUUCUAUCUCACCAGAUUCAUACCACACUUUAAUAUUCCUUACACGUCUUCUUACAUACUAUACCAACUUAUAACUACUAGAUAAAAAAUCAAGGGACCCUUAGUCUAUUAAAAAUAACUAAUAAGAAUAAUCGAUCUUAAUCUUAUUACCUGACCUACUUAUGGUCUAUGGAACAUUCAUCUCCUCACAUGACAUCCACUUACUCAUGCUCACACCCCAAC
rnacentral:lncRNA from 1 species